rnacentral:rRNA from 1 species
CCUACGGGUGGCAGCAGUGAGGAAUAUUGGUCAAUGGCCGGAAGGCUGAACCAGCCAAGCCGCGUGAAGGACGAAGGUGCCAAGCAUUGUAAACUUCUUUUGCCGGGGAACAAAGUGCCGCACGUGUGCGGUUUGGAGAGUACCCGGAGAAAAAGCAUCGGCUAACUCCGUGCCAGCAGCCGCGGUAAUACGGAGGAUGCGAGCGUUAUCCGGAUUUAUUGGGUUUAAAGGGUGCGUAGGCGGACGCUUAAGUCAGCGGUAAAAUUGCGGGGCUCAACCUCGUCGAGCCGUUGAAACUGGGUGCCUUGAGUGGGCGAGAAGUACGCGGAAUGCGUGGUGUAGCGGUGAAAUGCAUAGAUAUCACGCAGAACUCCGAUUGCGAAGGCAGCGUACCGGCGCCCAACUGACGCUGAAGCACGAAGGCGUGGGUAUCGAACAGGAUUAGAUAUCCCAGUAGUC